rnacentral:sRNA from 1 species
UGAUAGCCCCGAUUGUAGCGAAAAUCCCGGAGUGCCGGAGCUUCGGCACGAGGAAUUGCAGCGGAAAGCGGGACGGGUU